rnacentral:snoRNA from 1 species
AAGACUAUACUUUCAGGGAUCAUUUCUAUAGUUUGUAUAGACAGCUAUGGGUUCCAGAUUCCUAGCAUUCAACACACUGACUGAUAGUCUG